AUGCAAGUCGAGCGGGGAAUAUAACAGGUGCUUGCACCGGUUAUAUCUUUAGCGGCGGACGGGUGAGUAACACGUGGGCAAUCUGCUCUUCACACUGGAAUAACAAUGAGAAAUCACUUGCUAAAACCGGAUAAGCUUACACUGUCGCAUGGCAUGAGUGAGAAAAUAUUUAUAGGUGAAGAAGGAGCCCGCGUCUGAUUAGCUAGUUGGUGGGGUAACGGCCUACCAAGGCGACGAUCAGUAGCCGACCUGAGAGGGUGACCGGCCACAUUGGGACUGAGACACGGCCCAAACUCCUACGGGAGGCAGCAGUGGGGAAUAUUGCACAAUGGGCGCAAGCCUGAUGCAGCAACGCCGCGUGAAGGAUGAAGGGUUUCGGCUCGUAAACUUCUUUAGGCAGGGACGAAACAAAUGACGGUACCUGCAGAAUAAGCCCCGGCUAACUACGUGCCAGCAGCCGCGGUAAUACGUAGGGGGCAAGCGUUAUCCGGAAUUACUGGGUGUAAAGGGUGAGUAGGCGGCAUCAUAAGUCAUAUGUGAAAGCCCAGGGCUUAACCCUGGGAUUGCAUAAGAAACUGUGAGGCUAGAGUACAGGAGAGGUAAGCGGAAUUCCUAGUGUAGCGGUGAAAUGCGUAGAUAUUAGGAAGAACACCAGUGGCGAAGGCGGCUUACUGGACUGAAACUGACGCUGAGUCACGAAAGCGUGGGGAGCAAACAGGAUUAGAUACCCUGGUAGUCCACGCUGUAAACGAUGAGUGCUA
rnacentral:rRNA from 2 species